AUUGAACGCUGGCGGCAGGCCUAACACAUGCAAGUCGAGCGAGGGGCGGGCGGGUGAGUAAUGUAUGGGGACUGCCUGAUAGAGGGGGAUAACUACUGGAACCGGUGGCUAAUACCGCAUACUAUCGGAUAACCCAUUUUGGAUUAGCUAGUAGGUGGGGUAAAGGCUCACCUAGGCGACGAUGUCUAGCUGGUCGGAGAGGAUGAUCGGCGACACGGGGACUGAGACAGGGCCCAGGCUCCUACGGAGGGAGCAGUGGGGAAUAGGGGACAAUGGGCGCAAGCCUGACGCAGCCAUGCCGCGUGUAUGAAGAAGGCCUUAGGGUGGGAAAGUACGUUCAGGGGUGAGGCGUUACCCGUAGAAGAAGCACCGGCUAACUCCGUGCCAGCAGCCGCGGUAAUUC
rnacentral:rRNA from 1 species